rnacentral:rRNA from 1 species
CUACGGGAGGCAGCAGUGGGGAAUAUUGGACAAUGGGGGCAACCCUGAUCCAGCAAUGCCGCGUGUGUGAAGAAGGUCUUCGGAUUGUAAAGCACUUUCACUAGGGAAGAUGAUGACGGUACCUAGAGAAGAAGCCCCGGCUAACUUCGUGCCAGCAGCCGCGGUAAUACGAAGGGGGCUAGCGUUGCUCGGAAUGACUGGGCGUAAAGGGCGCGUAGGCUGUCUGUACAGUCAGAUGUGAAAUCCCCGGGCUUAACCUGGGAACUGCAUUUGAUACGUGCAGACUAGAGUCCGAGAGAGGGUUGUGGAAUUCCCAGUGUAGAGGUGAAAUUCGUAGAUAUUGGGAAGAACACCGGUUGCGAAGGCGGCAACCUGGCUCGGAACUGACGCUGAGGCGCGAAAGCGUGGGGAGCGAACAGGAUUAGAUACCCUGGUAGUCCACGCUGUAAACGAUGUGUGCUGGAUGUUGGGUGAUUUUAUCAUUCAGUGUCGGAGCUAACGCGUUAAGCACACCGCCUGGGGAGUACGGCCGCAAGGUUGAAACUCAAAGGAAUUGACGGGGGCCCGCACAAGCGGUG